GGAGACGAGGCGACGCUCCCCGCCGGUGGCGGUAGCGCCCCCAUCAGCUUCAUGGCGGCCAUAGCGGUGCUGGCGAUCCUCCCCUUCGUGGUGUGCACCGCGUGGGGCACACGGAGUGCCGGCAAACGUGGCGCGGACGAGCAAGGAGGGAGCUCCCCGAGCCUGGUGCCCGAGAGAGAUGCCGUCUCUGCCGAGUGCAGCGACGAGGAGGCCGCCACGGCGCGGAUGACGGAGCGGCACGCGGAGACGGAGGUGUAAGAGGAGAAGAGGUGGAGGAUGAGGUGUCAAGAGUCGGAGUCGGAAGUUUGUGUGUUUGUGGGCAAGGCGGCCACUGUAGUAGUACCGUCCUUGUUGCUGUUGUUAUAUUGAUGGUGAAAAGUUA